rnacentral:rRNA from 1 species
AUUGAACGCUGGCGGAAUGCUUUACACAUGCAAGUCGAGCGGCAGCGCGGGGGCAACCCUGGCGGCGAGCGGCGAACGGGUGAGUAACAUAUCGGAACGUACCCAGUCGUGGGGGAUAACUAUCCGAAAGGAUAGCUAAUACCGCAUACGUCCUGAGGGAGAAAGCGGGGGAUCGCAAGACCUCGCGCGAUUGGAGCGGCCGAUAUCGGAUUAGCUAGUUGGUGGGGUAAAGGCUCACCAAGGCGACGAUCCGUAGCGGGUCUGAGAGGACGACCCGCCACACUGGAACUGAGACACGGUCCAGACUCCUACGGGAGGCAGCAGUGGGGGAAUUUUUGGACAAUGGGGGCGAACCCUCGAUCCAGCCAUUCCGCGUGAGUGAAGAAGGACCGUCG